rnacentral:rRNA from 1 species
UACAGAGGGGGCAAGCGUUGUUCGGAAUUACUGGGCGUAAAGGGCGCGUAGGCGGCCUCUUAAGUCGAACGUGAAAUCCCCGGGCUCAACCCGGGAACUGCGUCCGAUACUGGGGGGCUUGAAUCCGGGAGAGGGAUGUGGAAUUCCAGGUGUAGCGGUGAAAUGCGUAGAUAUCUGGAGGAACACCGGUGGCGAAGGCGGCAUCCUGGACCGGUAUUGACGCUGAUGAGCGAAAGCUAGGGGAGCAAACGGG